CAGAGGGUGCAAGCGUUAAUCGGAUUUACUGGGCGUAAAGCGUGCGUAGGCGGUUCAUUAAGUCGGUUGUGAAAUCCCUGGGCUUAACCUGGGAACUGCAGUCGAUACUGGUGAACUAGAGUGCGGUAGAGGGUGGCGGAACUCCGGGUGUAGCGGUGAAAUGCGUAGAUAUCCGGAAGAACACCGAUGGCGAAGGCAACCACCUGGGCCUGCACUGACGCUGAGGUACGAAAGCGUGGGGAGCAAACAGGAUUAGAUACCCUGGUAGUCCACGCUGUAAACGAUGAGAACUUGACGUCGGUUCGCCUAGCGAAUCGGUGUCGCAGCUAACGCGAUAAGUUCUCCGCCUGGGGAGUACGGCCGCAAGGUUG
rnacentral:rRNA from 1 species